UUAAUUUUGUCGGCCUUCGGAAAGGAGCAUCGCGAAGGGGAAAGGGAAUGUGCCUCUUCCGAAAUGACCGAUCAUUCUUAGAGGAUCGGAGACGAGAACUCUGCAAGGCAAAAACAGUUCUCGAUUAUCGCCAUUUUUAUGGACAAAUUGCAUAGGAACACAGAGAUAGCAGCAUCGGAUCCUAAAUUAAAAUGGAGAAAAAGACGAGGACGAUGUAAAAUCUGAAGCAGGAGACGAAUCGAGCGCACGAUUGGAAAUCUGGAACUUCGCUCGAUAAGGAGAAGACAGAUCAGUAGUGUGCAUGCGGAAGUGACGGCGGAGGAGACAGCGGAGGCCGGCAAGGCGGGGCGGAGAUCAGAAGAGAUUUCGAUAUGACUUUCAAGCUAUGUGAAGAAUAUCUCAUCCAAUUCCCUCAAGGGAUUUCCAGUUCAAUUCCUACAGUAGAAGUUGGAUAAGUUGCUGUCAUGGUGAUGGAAAAUAGCUGAGAAAUGGAUUUCACCAACAGCAGAGGAUGAAAUGGAAGAAGAAGAAGAAGAAGAAGAAGAAGAAGAAGAAGAAGAAGAAGAAGGGAAUCCUGAUGAUGCUGCAGCAGAGAAGAAUGGCACAGAGGUUAAUCUAUUUGAGUGGCCAUGGAUUUGCCACUCCCCCAUUCUCGUCUCUGCUGCUCUUUCCUGCAUUCGCAAUGUUAAUUCACAGGCAAAAGUCAGAACAUCAAAUAUGAUAUAUCUACUAACUACAUGAGGAGCUGAAUGCAAACACAAGAAAUAUAUGUACGGAUUAUAUGAAGUUUGGUUUUCAAAUGGUUCAUUACCCUGGAGAUGGGAAAGAAACAGGAAUUUGAAGGCACAGCAUAGCCAUAUGGCUGAGAAGAUUCAAUUGCUGCUGAAACAGAGUUUUCAAGCUGUUUGUGAUUGAGCAAGAUGUUAGCCAAGCAUUAACAAUAAAACAAAAGAUCUCCAGAACUCAGUCUCGAGAAUUACCGUCGUUCUACCAUCAACGACGACGUCGGGUGAGCUGAGAUGACAACCAUUACCAAACAUGCCAAUGCUCUCACUUUGAGGGUCAGAAUGAUUGGGGGGAGCAAUUCGCAAACUCAGGUCAAGACUCUGGUUGUCCUCUACAAAUCAAGACGGUUUUCGAAACCAAUUGUUAUGUUAUGUAUAACCUGAUCGAGCAAAGGGGGUUGUUAAGAACUAGAAUGAGAAAAUGUAUAAACAGGGAAGAACCAAACCUCCUGUGUCAAUCUCUGCAGCCAUCUCUGACAUAUAAGAACUUGGAUCAAAGUUUGUAACAGCCUCUUUACCAUUGCAUCUUAAGGCAGCUAUGUCAUAGGCCCUGAUUGAACAACAGUAAACAAUCAAGUUAAAGGGAGUGACCCGACUAUAAAAGCUUCUUGCGAGGAAGCCCUCCGUGACACUAGCCUUAAGCUAACGCAGACAUUAGAAAGUUUGAAAGAUUUAAGAAGACCUUGCAGCUUCAAUCUCACUAUCAAAGAGACCAAGAUACAUGUACCUGUAAGGAAGAAAAAUGCCAACAAAAACAGCUCGAUUCAAGACAAAAUCCCAGUAACAUGAUCCAAGAAACACACAGAAAACGAAGUCCCAGAAUAAUUUAGACUCACUUCCUGCCUAAGAACUGGCCCAUCCGAGCUUCCCAUCGACCACAUUUAUGCAAGGUAACUCCUCUGUACUUCGAGCUUCCUCUUGUAAAUCCAUUGCUACGGCGACGAAGAUUAUGAAUAAGCUCUUCCUUAGUGAUAUUACUCAUCUGGGGUGUUAAUGGCAGAAUCAGAGAGAAGCUCUUCGUCAAUGGCGUAAUUUGAAUUUCUGACAGUAACAAGCAUUAUCUUAGACUACCUCACCUGUUUGAUAUCUUCUUCAUAAUUUCUGACACUGAAAUUGAUAUCUGCGUCGACCCCCCGAAACUUGAUCGCCGCUUUAUCAUAUGCUCUGAGAUGGAAAAUAUGAAUUCUAAGAGAAAUCCAACCAAAAAUGGCGGAAAGAACAAGAGAAGUGGUUUUUUUUUUGUUACCUGGCGGCAGCAUGAGCAGUAUCGAAACCGCCUGAAGGAAAAGAGAAACAGCCAUAGAGAAAAUGAUGAAUCGAAGUUCGAGAAAAGAAAAGAAAAGAAAAGGAAUCAAACAGCAAUGGCCGUACCCAAAUAAACCUGUUUCCCGCAGUCCCUGGUAACGAACAGAAAAGGUGCUCAAGAACGGCAUAAAUGGCGGAUUCAAAUUCAAGGAACCUAAUAAGGUCAUGGAACUGUCAAAACAAUAAAACACUUACCAAAUAUGCGAUUCCCAUCUCCCGGUUCUACGAUAAUACGUAACGCCACGAUACUGCGAACUUCGAGGCCUUGGACCACGUCUGUUUUUCCUCAUCGCCUGAUCCUGUGGCUGCGCCGGUGCGCCGCCGUCUCCAUGAUUGAAUUCCGAUGGAGAAACCUCCGGCCACUGCAUCUGAGUACUCGAACUAGUAUUUAAUCCGUCGGUUAACGGGAAGAACUCCUUCGUUUGGUCGCGGUGGUCAUCGGAAAUAGAAUUUAAUCCGUCCGUUAACGGGAAGAGCUCUAUCGUCUGGUCGCAGUGGUCAUCGGAAAUAGAAAGUGAUUUCACCGUUGAGCUUUCUUGAACCGCGUAAUUUUUACCGAUAGUGAACGGGAAAACCUCGUCGACGUUGGUGGUGCUGGCGGAAGGAUCGCCAUUAACGACGGAGGACGAGUUGAAACAUCCAGCGGUUUCCAUUCUGUUCGCUGGAAAAUUCAGAAAACUCUCAGUAACCAUCUCCGAUGGAACAACGUCGUGGUUAAGAUUCAGCAUGAGCUUGAAACUUCACCUUCUGCAAAAAAAAAACAUGGAAAUCAAAGCAUAAUUGGAUUGUAAAGAAUCAAACCAUCACAACACUUCAGCUGUUACACAAUCAGAGGAUCAUUGUUGAAGAAACAAAGAGAAUAUGAAGAAGAAGACAAUAAGGGUGGAGAUGGGUCACCAGUAAACAGACUCCUGACUGCUUGAAUCAAUGAAGAGAGGAGAAUGAAGUCCAAAGAGAGUGGGUGAAGUUAAUUUAUUGAAGGUGGGAGCUCGAUUUCCAUGGCGGAUAGAGGCAGGAAAUUGAGAAAAGACGAGGUGGGGGUCACUAAAAAACUGCACUUCUCUUGUCUCUUUCUGUAGUUUGAAAGAAAUCAACGAAAACGUUUUAUUUUAAUUUAAUUUUGUUUUUAUUUUUA